rnacentral:rRNA from 1 species
UCGGGAAUUUUGGGCAAUGGGCGAAAGCCUGACCCGGCAACGCCGCGUGAAGGAUGAAGUAUUUCGGUAUGUAAACUUCGAAAGAAUAGGAAGAAUAAAUGACGGUACUAUUUAUAAGGUCCGGCUAACUACGUGCCAGCAGCCGCGGUAAUACGUAGGGACCAAGCGUUGUUCGGAUUUACUGGGCGUAAAGGGCGCGUAGGCGGCAAUUCAAGUCAUCUGUGAAAUCUCCGGGCUUAACUCGGAACGGUCAGAUGAUACUGCUUUGCUAGAGUGCAGAAGGGGCAAUCGGAAUUCUUGGUGUAGCGGUGAAAUGCGUAGAUAUCAAGAGGAACACCUGAGGUGAAGACGGGUUGCUGGGCUGACACUGACGCUGAGGCGCGAAAGCCAGGGGAGCAAACGGGAUUAGAUACCCAGGUAGUCCCUGAGCGGGCUGGCAAGGCGCAU